UCUGUAAUGGAGGCUAAUUGGUUGAAGCAGAAAAGUUGCUUAGGGCCCGUUUGGAUAGGGUGAUUUGGACUUGAGGAUUUGGAUUUCGGAGGCCCACAUACAAAUAAGCCCGUUUGGCACAAAUUUUUCAUUAGAGAUUUGGAUUUGAUGAAAUCAGCCCAGUCAUUUGAUUAACAAAAUAUGCAGAUUCUAUAUAACUAGGGUACCCUACUAGGGUACCCUAGUUAUUUGAAAUCUCUUCCUCUCUCGCUUCCAAGACACUAGAGCUCGAUUUCAAAGCACGCGGAGCUCGCUCUCUCUCCACUCAUGUUCUCUACAAAUCGCAGAGGUUGGGCUCGACUUCGUGUGAGAUUUGGUGAAGGACACAAAGCUGAUGGAGACUGGAAACCGCAAGCUUAUCAAGCAGUAGUGGAAAAGUUGAAUUAUGGAGAGUGAGCAUGAGAUGGAAUUAUGGAGAUGAAACACCUAUUAAUAUUAUAAUUGUUAUGUUUUUGUUUUUUUUUUAGAAUAUUAGAUGAAACACUUCGGAUUUGUAUAAUCGAGGAUGUGUAUUAUUAUUAUUAUUAUUAUUUUUUUGAGAAUAUGAGAUGAAACACUUCGGAUUUA